ACUUGAACCCCAAGCAGCUUUGUCAAGUCCCAUGUCAUGUCUCACAACAGGUCACUGUGUUACCAAACCUGAGCUGAUAUUGAAGUUGGAGCAAGGAGAGGAACUGUGGACAUUAGAAGGAAAACUCCCAAGUUCGAGCCACCCAAAAGUCCAGGGAACCAGUAACAUGAAAUAGAUAAGCCAAGAACAUGAGGACCAGUAUUUGAGGCAAACUUUAUUCAUCAACAACAAAACAUUGACUAAGGAGAGAAGUAAGACCUUCAGAGAAACGUUUAUUUUGGUCACAAACUCAGGGCCCUCAAGAAAAAUAUCCCACAAAGGUGACUCAUCUGUAACAAACUUGAAAAAUGUUUCUGAAUUGACUAUUAAUAAUAGGAGCCAUGUGAGAAAGAACACUGAUGAUUUCAGUGGAUGUGGAUUCCUUGAUAUUAUACAUGAGAAAGUUCAUACGAGGAACAAGUCCUGUGAAAGUGAUCAAAAGAAGAAAUCCCACAGACAAUUGAGGAGUUUAUUCAACAUCAGAAUUCAGCUUUGGAGCAACUUCUUGAAUGUAAUAAUGGUAGGAAAGCCUUUCACAGAAAGACAGCCUUUGUUAUAUGUAAGAGAGCUCACACAGGAGAGGAACCCUCUCAAAGUAACAAAUGUAGACGAGCCUUCCUCUAAAAGUUAAAGCUCAGUGCUUGUCCAAGAGCCCUUAGGGGAAAGGAAGCCACACAAAUCCAGUAAAAAUGGGAAAUCCUCAUGCAUGAAUUCAAAACAUGUACAUCAGAGAGCUCACCGUGAAUGCUGUAAAUUGGGGAAAUCCUUUAGCAAGAAGUCAAACUGUAGUCAGCAUCAGAGACUGCACACAGGAGGGAAACCAGAGGAGUAUAACCAAAGUGAGGGAGCCUUGCAGAAGUCACCCUGCAUGCAAAGUGGGCAGACCCGCACAGGAGAGAAAAUUCAUGACUGCAACAAAUGUGGGAAAUCCUUCCCUGAAAACUCAUGCCUGACCCAACAUCAGGGAAUUCACACAGUGGAAGACCCCAGAGAGUGCAAUGAUAGUGAGGGGGCCGUAAAGAAGGAGUCCCACCCGACUCUAAAUCAGAGCAUUAACAUGAGCGAGAAAAGCUUUAAAGGUAGUAAGUGUGAGAAAUCCUCCCACGAGAAGUUGAAACUCACUCAGCAUCAGAGAACGCAGUCGGGGGAACAAGAUGAUGAGUCUUGUGAGAGUGGGAGGGUCUUCACUGAGAAGUCACACCUCCCUCGGUAUCAGAGAGUUCACAGUGGGAAGAAAACCUACAACUGUAAUAAAUGCGCGGAACGCUUCCAUGAGAAACGACCUCGCUCGACAUCAGAGCGCGCACACAG